rnacentral:lncRNA from 10 species
UUUAAAGUUGCAUUCUAAUUCUCAUGGAGUGAAAGAUAAGACUAAUUAUACUGCCUGUAUGACUGAGAAAGAAGGAUGACCUUGUCCCAUAUGCUAAAGGACCUGAAAUCUAGAGAACAACUUGACACAUCUAUUUCCAGCCAGAGCAGCAGUGACUGGCAGGAAGACAAAGAGGAGGCGGGUCUAUAAGGAAGACGUCUGGUUGGCAGCGGACAUCCAAGCUGCAUGAGGAGAGGCUCACGUAGGGGGAAACCGAGGUUUGCAGCAGCGACUCGCCAGGCGUGUGAGUGAGCCAACCUGGAAGCAGAUCCUCCAGUUCCAGUGAAGUGUGUGGAUGACAUCAGCUCCAGCCUUCAUUUUGACCACAACUCAUGAGAUGCCCUAAGCCAGAACCACCCUUGAAGCUGCUUUUAAAUUCCGAAAGUGGAAAUAAUAUAUUUUAUUGUUUUAAAUCACUACAUUUUGGGGUAGUGAUUUGUUUUGCAUGCCAUUUGUUAUGUUGCAAUGGAUAACCAAUACAUCUUGACUUUUGGAAACCAUGAGGAGGGAUCAAUGUUUUAAAAAGAUUCAUUGUCCUCAUUUAGGUAGUCACUAUUAUUAUUUCUUAAGGGAGUAUGCCUACCAGGACUAUAACAUUUCCAAGGAAGUGUUUAUGAAUACAGCACUGCCAUGGAUAUUUAAAAGCAAGCUUGUGGAUUCCACACCAGCUUUGAAAUAGAAUAUCUGGCACCUAGCAGUUAGCAUAAGAUAAAAGGAAUUAUUUCCCAAAUAAAGCCAUAUGUUAUUGCUAUCAUCAUCAUCAUCAUCACCAUCACUGCCAUUAAACAUCUAGGUGCAGAUAAUACCCAUAAUAGUGUCCCUUUGAAUGAGAGAAAUCAACAAAGGUCCCAAAAGGCAAUUGCACAGGUCCUUAUUUACUGAUUUUUCCUAAAUAAUCAAAUAGAUCUUUUACCUUAAAUGCAGAUAAUAUCAUAAUUCAUCAAACUAAUUUAUAAUGGUGAACUGCCGCUUAAAUAUUGUCUUAUAAAUGAUGCCUUUUGAAGUUAAAAGUGAUGUUGAUUCAAUCAAUUUUGAAAAAAUAUCUAGAACAUAUUAAACAAAUGAUAUUAGAAGUGAAAAAAACUGUCUUCUAUUAAGUCUUCUAAGAAAGACAAUUAUGAUAAGUUCCUGGUCAGAUAAAAACCAUUCCAUCAUUAAAGGAAAUAAAAAGAAGCAU